CGUAAGGCGCCGAAUGAGUCAUUAAAAAAUUAACACCAUCCGAUCCCUAGUCGGCAUAGUUUAUGGUUAAGACUACGACGGUAUCUGAUCGUCUUCGAUCCCCUAACUUUCGUUCUUGAUUAAUGAAAACAUCCUUGGCAAAUGCUUUCGCAGUAGUCAGUCUUCAAUAAAUCCAAGAAUUUCACCUCUGACAAUUGAAUACUAAUGCCCCCAACUAUCCCUAUUAAUCAUUACGUCAACCCUAGAAACCAACAAAAUAGGAUCGAUCGUCCUAUUCUAUUAUUCCAUGCUAAUGUAUUCA
rnacentral:rRNA from 1 species